GCGGGCGUAGCUCAAUGGCAGAGCAUCGGCCUUCCAAGCCGACUAUGUGGGUUCGAUCCCCAUCGCCCGCU
rnacentral:tRNA from 1 species